GAUGAAGAACGCAGCGAAAUGCGAUACGUAAUGUGAAUUGCAGAAUUCUGUGAAUCAUCGAGUCUUUGAACGCACAUUGCGCCCCCUGGUAUUCCGGGGGGCAUGCCUGUCCGAGCGUCAUUGCUGCCCUCAAGCACGGCUUGUGUGUUGGGCCUCCGUCCUCCUCCCGGGGGACGGGCCCGAAAGGCAGCGGCGGCACCGCGUCCGGUCCUCGAGCGUAUGGGGCUUCGUCACCCGCUCUUGUAGGCCCGGCCGGCGCUUGCCGACACAUCAAUCUUUUUUCCAGGUUGACCUCGGAUCAGGUAGGGAUACCCGCUGAACUUAAGCAUAUCAAUAAGCGGAGGA
rnacentral:misc_RNA from 1 species